rnacentral:rRNA from 1 species
AGCGAACGCUGGCGGCAGGCUUAACACAUGCAAGUCGAGCGGGCACUUCGGUGUCAGCGGCAGACGGGUGAGUAACACGUGGGAACGUACCCUUCGGCUCGGAAUAACGCUGGGAAACUAGCGCUAAUACCGGAUACGCCCUUUUGGGGAAAGGUUUACUGCCGAAGGAUCGGCCCGCGUCUGAUUAGCUAGUUGGUGGGGUAAUGGCCUACCAAGGCGACGAUCAGUAGCUGGUCUGAGAGGAUGAUCAGCCACACUGGGACUGAGACACGGCCCAGACUCCUACGGGAGGCAGCAGUGGGGAAUAUUGGACAAUGGGCGCAAGCCUGAUCCAGCCAUGCCGCGUGAGUGAUGAAGGCCUUAGGGUUGUAAAGCUCUUUUGUCCGGGACGAUAAUGACGGUACCGGAAGAAUAAGCCCCGGCUAACUUCGUG